AAACUUGCUUGUAACUUGUUACAUGGGCAGAGAGAGAGAGAGAAACAAGGAGAGAGAAAUAAAUAGAAAUGAAAUACAUUCAUUCAUUUGAAUGAUCAUUGUCCAUUUUUUUUUCCUUCCCUAUUGU
rnacentral:ribozyme from 14 species